rnacentral:rRNA from 1 species
CCGUAACUAUAACGGUCCUAAGGUAGCGAAAUUCCUUGUCGGGUAAGUUCCGACCUGCACGAAUGGCAUAACGAUGGCCACACUGUCUCCUCCCGAGACUCAGUGAAGUUGAAAUGUUUGUGAUGAUGCAAUCUACCCGCGGCUAGACGGAAAGACCCCAUGAACCUUUACUGCAGCUUUGCAUUGAACUGUGAACCGAUUUGUGUAGGAUAGGUGGGAGGCAGAGAAGAGUCCACGCCAGUGGUCUUGGAGCCGACCUUGAAAUACCACCCUGAUUUGUUUGCGGUUCUAACCACGGACAGUGAUCCUGUCUUGGGACCGUGCAUGGUAGGCAGUUUGACUGGGGCGGUCUCCUCCUAAAGGGUAACGGAGGAGUACGAAGGUACGCUAGGUACGGUCGGAAAUCGUGCUGAUAGUGCAAUGGCAAAAGCGUGCUUGACUGCGAGAGCAACAACUCGAGCAGAUGCGAAAGCAGGUCAUAGUGAUCCGGUGGCUCUGAAUGGAAGGGCCAUCGCUCAACGGAUAAAAGGUACUCUGGGGAUAACAGGCUGAUACCGCCCAAGAGUUCAUAUCGACGGCGGUGUUUGGCACCUCGAUGUCGGCUCAUCUCAUCCUGGGGCUGUAGUCGGUCCCAAGGGUAUGGCUGUUCGCCAUUUAAAGAGGUACGUGAGCUGGGUUUAAAACGUCGUGAGACAGUUUGGUCCCUAUCUGCCGUGGGCGUUGGAAGAUUGACGGGGGCUGCUCCUAGUACGAGAGGACCGGAGUGGACGCACCUCUGGUGUACCGGUUGUCACGCCAGUGGCAUUGCCGGGUAGCUAAGUGCGGAAGAGAUAACCGCUGAAAGCAUCUAAGCGGGAAACUUGCCUGAAGAUGAGUCUUCCCGGAGGUAAAACCUCCCUCAAGAGUCGUCCGAGACCAGGACGUCGAUAGGUCAGGUGUGUAAGCGCUGCGAGGCGUUGAGCUAACUGAUACUAAUUGCUCGUGAGGCUUGAUCCU